UGCAGAAUCCCGUGAGUCAUCCAGUCUUUGAAUGCAAGUUGCGCCCGAGGCUUCGAAUGAGGGCACGUCUGCCUGGGUGUCGCAC
rnacentral:rRNA from 1 species